rnacentral:snoRNA from 1 species
GUGAUGAAUCCUUCCGCUAAGGACACGUGACGAAUACAGCGGCUCUGA